rnacentral:lncRNA from 10 species
GCCCAGCUGGCUGACACAUUGACUUCAGCCUUGUGAGAUUCUGAGCAGAAAAUCCAGUCAAGUCUUCUUGGACUUCAGAACUACAGAAUGGUGUUAAAUUGCAUUUGGACUUUUAUGGCUAAACAAAACAAAUAUUUCAAGAGGGGUGAGGAGAAUGAGCUGACAGAUUCUCAGUAAUGCAGCCAAGGAUGUGAAGAGGCAGGUCCGGAGCUUGCUGGAAGGACCAACUGUGCACACUCACGUUGGCAAGCUCCGGAAUCCCAGCUGAGCCAAGGCCCUGGCUUUACUUUACCUGGGAGAAGAGAUCAGACCUCUACCCUCCGAAAUAGCUGACCAUUCAUCUGGCAAAUAAUGGAACACCCUGACUGAUUUCCUUGUGUUGGCUGUGUUAAAAUAGCUUAAUAAUCUCCAUGCAACAGAACUCCCUUGAGUAAAUGUGAGUUUCAGACCCAUCAGUGUUUGUGGCAAUUAUUCUGAACUGUUUUCCUUUAGCUAACCUGCUCGCAUUUCUAUCCUUCCC